rnacentral:rRNA from 1 species
AUCUACCAGAGUACUAUGAAUAUUAAAAAUUUAAAACUCAAAGAGCUUGGCGGUGCUUUAGACCUUUUAGGGGAACCUGUCUUAUAAUCGACAAUCCACGUCAUACCUAACCUUUUUUUGCAUACAGUUUGUAUACCGUCGUCGUCAGGUAACUUUUAAAAAUCUAAUAGUUAGCAGAUAAACUGGACAAUAAGUUUAAACGUCAGAUCAAGGUGCAACUAAUAAAAAGGUUAAGAUGGGUUACAAUUAUAUUAAUAAUAAUACGGAAAAUUGGCUGAAAUACCAUUAUGAAGGAGGACUUAAAAGUAAAAGAUAUUUAUAUAUAUAUAACUUGAAUAAGGCUCUGAAGCGUGC